GUGAAACCCCAAAGAAAGUCUUCAAUACAAAUCAACUCCCGUAGCUAGCGGACACCGGUAAGAAAAUCUCAGUGGCCAUCAUGUAUUGUUUCGGUUCUUCAUUCCCCUCGGCCCCGGUUCUUUUAUGUCUUCAUUGUUGUUCUCCUUGAUAUUUUCUCAAUGCACUUUGUGUCGAUAUGGGAUACCUUUAUUAUGGUACAAAUGGAUAAUUUUUAACUUUAAAAAAUCUUCAUUAAUUAUAUAUCACAUUUUUGGAGACAUUUAAUACAGGUCAUGAAGGACAUUACAACAACACAGGGGCGCUGCUAUCUUAAGGGCACCCUUGGGUAGGGAAGAUAUCCCGACAGCUCAUGUCAUCGACACUGCUAUAGAGAAGGGGAGAGGGAGAACCAGCCUUGCCGCAGCGCUUCAAGUUCCAUCCGCCUAUGAGCUAGCAGCAAGUCAAAAAGAUUGGAGGGAUUAUUAUGGUUCAGUUUGGUUCAACUGCCCAUGAAACGUGGCGGUCACCAUCAAUUAUCCGACUCAAGUAAAUAGGGCAAACAUGUUCUAGGAUUGGAGAAUAAUUACCUAUGAAUUGAAACAGCACCAUCCAAGGGAGAUACCAGGGAAGGGAGACGUUGUCCUACAUGGGCGGCACAAUAGCCUCGGCAAUGCUAACGUUCUCCGCCACGACUGCAUUUUGUGCCUCAUGCGUUAUGAAGAUGUUGCCAACCGCGCCCAGUGAGGCUCUCCGGCUCUACUUGUAAGCAUACAUCCAUGUCAACAGAUAAAAGAAGUCAUUAUC